UACCAGCACCCCGAGUGGUCGGGACGAUUAUUGGGCCUAAAGCAUCCGUAGCCGGUUCUGCAAGUCCCCCGUUAAAUCCAGCUGCUCAACAGAUGGGCCGCGGAGGAUACUAUAAGACUAGGAGGCAGGAGAGGCAAGCGGUACUCAGUGGGUAGGGGUAAAAUCCUCUGAUCCAUUGAAGACCACCAGUGGCGAAGGCGGCUUGCCAGAACGCGCUCGACGGUGAGGGAUGAAAGCUGGGGGAGCAAACCGG
rnacentral:rRNA from 1 species